rnacentral:rRNA from 1 species
AGCUCCAAUAGCGUAUAUUUAAGUUGCUGCAGUUAAAAAGCUCGUAGUUGGAUUUCGGGUGGGUUCUGCCGGUCCGGUUUAUCUGUGCACUGGCAUGGCCUACCUUUCUGCCGGGGACGCGCUCUGGGGGUAAAACCCCGGACGUGGAUUCGGCGAGGUUACUUUGAGUAAAUUAGAGUGUUCAAAGCAGGCUUACGCUCUGAAUACGUUAGCAUGGAAUAACAUGAUAGGACUCUGGCCUAUCU